rnacentral:sRNA from 1 species
AAAAUAUAGGCUUUUGAGUGAAAUGGUUUGGUAAAGCUUACUUUAUAUAAAUAUAGCCAUGAUAAGCAGUAUGUUAUUCUUCAGAUUAUUAAAUAUUUGUAAUGAGAACAGUGAUAUCUAAGUAUUCUUGCUUUCUAUAUUGACAGAUUAUAAGAGAAAAUAGUAUCUCUCUCAGUGAAAUCGAAUUGCCGUGCUCAGAGGAUUUGAAUUUGGAAACUUUGUCCCAAGCACAUGUCUACAUAAUUGCAGGAGCCUGUUUGUCUCUGGGUUUUCGAUUUGCUGGCUCAGAAAACUUAUCAGCAUUUAACUGUUUGCAUAAAUUUGCCAAAGAUUUUAUGACUUAUUUGUCUGCACCUAAUGCUUCUGUUACAGGUCCUUAUAACCUAGAAACUUGUCUGAGCGUGGUGCUGCUGUCUCUCGCCAUGGUCAUGGCUGGCUCAGGAAACCUAAAGGUUUUGCAGCUUUGUCGCUUCUUACACAUGAAAACGGGUGGUGAAAUGAACUAUGGUUUUCACUUAGCCCACCACAUGGCCCUUGGACUUCUAUUUUUGGG